GAUGAACGCUAGCGGCAGGCCUAAUACAUGCAAGUCGGACGGGAUUGGAGAGCUUGCUUUCCAUGAGAGUGGCGCACGGGUGCGUAACACGUAUGCAACCUACCUUUAUCAGGGGGAUAGCCUCUCGAAAGAGAGAUUAACACCGCAUAAAAUUGGAUUAUGGCAUCAUAAUCUGAUCAAAUAUUUAUAGGAUAAAGAUGGGCAUGCGGAACAUUAGCUAGUUGGUAAGGUAACGGCUUACCAAGGCGACGAUGUUUAGGGGAUCUGAGAGGAUGACCCCCACACUGGUACUGAGACACGGACCAGACUCCUACGGGAGGCAGCGGUAAGGAAUAUUGGUCAAUGGGCGGAAGCCUGAACCAGCCAUGCCGCGUGCAGGAAGACGGCCCUACGGGUUGUAAACUGCUUUUGUACGGGAAUAAACCUUGAUACGUGUAUCAAGCUGAAUGUACCGUAAGAAUAAGGAUCGGCUAACUCCGUGCCAGCAGCCGCCGUAAGAC
rnacentral:rRNA from 1 species